rnacentral:rRNA from 1 species
UAUGUAGGGUGCGAGCGUUAAUCGGAAUUACUGGGCGUAAAGCGUGCGCAGGCGGUUCGUUGUGUCGGCGGUGAAAGCCCCGGGCUUAACCUGGGAAUGGCCGUUGAAACUGGCGAACUGGAGUGUGGCAGAGGGGGGUGGAAUUCCGCGUGUAGCAGUGAAAUGCGUAGAGAUGCGGAGGAACACCGAUGGCGAAGGCAGCCCCCUGGGCUAACACUGACGCUCAGGCACGAAAGCGUGGGGAGCAAACAGG